AAACCAUGAUGUGGGCACUUCCUCAUUAAUUCCUUGGAUCUCUCCCAAGCUCGUACAACGACCGGCAUCAUCUUAUAAAAUGAUGUGAUAUCAUUUCUCAAUUU